GCCGGGUUGGUGGAAUGGCAGACACACUAGUUUUAGAAACUAGCGGGCAACCAUGGGGGUUCGAGUCCCUCACCCGGCACCA
rnacentral:tRNA from 1 species